AGUGAACGCUGGCGGUAGGCCUAACACAUGCAAGUCGAACGGCAGCACAGUAAGAGCUUGCUCUUACGGGUGGCGAGUGGCGGACGGGUGAGGAAUACAUCGGAAUCUACUUUUUCGUGGGGGAUAACGUAGGGAAACUUACGCUAAUACCGCAUACGACCUACGGGUGAAAGCAGGGGAUCUUCGGACCUUGCGCGAUUGAAUGAGCCGAUGUCGGAUUAGCUAGUUGGCGGGGUAAAGGCCCACCAAGGCGACGAUCCGUAGCUGGUCUGAGAGGAUGAUGAGCUACACUUGAACUGAGGCACCGGCCAGACUCUUACGGGAGGCAGCAGUGGGGAAUAUUGGACAAGGGUGGAAAGCCUGAACCAGCCAUACCGCGUGGGUUACGAAGGCCUUCGGGUUGUAAAGCCCUUUUUUUGGGAAAGAAAAGCAGCAGGCUUAUACCCCGCGGUUCUGACGGUACCCAAAGAAUAAGCACCGGCUAACUUCGUG
rnacentral:rRNA from 1 species